UUAAUAAAUUGUUUAAACAUAACAUUUUUUUUCACAAUCAUGUUGGUGAACAUAUUGAAGUAAUUCCAUUUUUUGUACUACGCCUAUUCUGAACAUGACUUCUACGAUUUUUUUUUAAUCUCUUGUUAUAUCCAUGUAUAAGAUGCACUGACAUUAAAUUUUCAUGUCAUAGGAGUACAUGUUUAGAAAAAAAUAUUUAAGAGUAAAAUUCAAUAAACCAUCAUGAUGUAUUCUAUCGAAAUAGUGUCACAAAUCAUGUGCAAAAUGACAAAUAUGAGACUGGAACAUCCAAUAGGUCCGUACAUUGAAGUUUCAUAAAUACGCGGACUGAUCGUGCGAAGAAAAACUAUCUAGACUUGACUCUAUACAUAUCAUGUACACAAUAGGGCUGCAAACUGUUUAUAAAUAAUUCAAAUUACUGAACAGAAUAUUGUUGAAAAGUUUUGUCGGUUUGUGUUUAUCAAAAUGUCCGAAAUCAUUACACGUUACUUUUUACUGCUUUUUACUGCUGAUUACUUAAACAAUUUAGUUACAAUGUAAUAACUACAUGUUCUUAACACAUCAGACUUAUAUGUACCUUUUUAUACGACUGCAAAAUAAUGUGCAGUUGUAUAUUGGUAUCACGUCGUCUUCGUCGUUCUUUAUAUUGGGACUUGUGCAUGUGUUACAAUUUUCCAUGCUAUAAGUAUUACAUUCUUUUUCUUAUGCUGAAUCAAACUGUAUUACUAUAUUUAGUUGUUGGACUUAUUUUCUAGUUGAUCCAAAUGUUGGUGCUAAGGCUAUAAAAUGUGUUUUGUUUGAUUUGAUAAACAUUAAAUAAAAUUUAUAAGAUAAUAAUUACAAUGCUUUAUUUAUAUUACCUCCCUUACAUUGCUUUUAAACUAUGUAAAGUUGUCAGCUAGUUAUAGCAUGAAUUACUUUUUAGCUGUUUCUAGAAACAUCAAAAACUGUAAUGGUAGUAUGCAUUAUAUAAUAAUAGUGUAUAUCAAAGUGUUCAGUGGUAAUACAUAUUCAUAUUCAGAAUGGUUUGUUUUGUUUUUUUGUUUUUUUUUUAGCUUUACGAGUUACCUCCCUUACAAUUGUUUUGAUAUAAAGAAAAGUUGUAUUGUCUUAAGGUGAUUAGCAGUCAAUUUAUUUUAAGAAGAAAUUUUUAAAUGUUGUGAAUAUAUAUAUUAAUUUUAGCCAUGAUUAUGUAUGUCAUAAAAAGUAAAAUCACAAAAAUACUGAACACCGAGGAAAAUUCAAUCGGAAAGUCCCUAAUCACAUGGCAAAAUAAA
rnacentral:lncRNA from 1 species